GUCUAUGGCCAGACCACCCUGAACACACCCGAUCUCCUCUGAUCUCUGAAGCUAAACAGAGUGGGGCCUGGUUAGUACUUGGAUGGGCAAAAGGGAAUGAAUCGCCUAAAAUACAGAAUAUAGGAGUUUGAGAUA
rnacentral:rRNA from 1 species